rnacentral:rRNA from 1 species
UACGAAGGGGCGUAGCGUUGUUCGGAAUUACUGGGCGUAAAGACGCACGUAGGCGGAUAUUUAAGUCAGGGGUGGAAAUCCCACGAGCUCAACUCUGGAACUGCCUUUGAUACUGGGUAUCUUGAGUAUGGAAGAGGUAAGUGGAAUUGCGAGUGUAGAGGUGAAAUUCGUAGAUAUUCGCAGGAACACCAGUGGCGAAGGCGGCUUACUGGUCCGUUACUGACGCUGAGGUGCGAAAGCGUGGGGAGCAAAC